UACGAAGGGGGCUAGCGUUGUUCGGAAUUACUGGGCGUAAAGGGUGCGUAGGCGGUGUGUCAAGUCAGGCGUGAAAGCCCCGGGCUCAACCUGGGAACCGCGCUUGAGACUGGCACGCUCGAGUUCGGGAGAGGAUGGUGGAAUUCCCAGUGUAGAGGUGAAAUUCGUAGAUAUUGGGAAGAACACCGAUGGCGAAGGCAGCCAUCUGGACCGACACUGACGCUGAGGCGCGAAAGCGUGGGGAGCAAACAGG
rnacentral:rRNA from 1 species